rnacentral:tRNA from 1 species
GUGGGUAUAGCUCAGUGGUAGAGUGCACGCUUAGCAUUAGGUCCUGGGUUCAAUCCCCAGUACCUCCA